rnacentral:misc_RNA from 1 species
UGAUAAUCAUAAAAAUUGCUCAAAUUUGCAGAUACGAAUAGUAAUAUUGAAGGAGAGAAAAGAGCAGUGAGCUUACUUGUUAUGCGAUGACGGCUAAAAUGAUUGAAAAUGAAUGGAAAUAAGAGAAGUAGAUGGUUAUUGACGAUGAAGGUAGGGUUUUUUUUUCUUUUUCUUUUUUUUUUUUUUUUCCCUCUCUGGAUAUAUAUGAAGCACAAGAUGCAGUGUAACGAGAGCUUAAUAUGUCUCGGAUAGACGAGAAGGGAAGCUUAGACGGAGAGAUGCUUGUGAUUACUUUCUUCUAG